AAAAGAAGAAACAGAGAGGGUGAACUUGAUACUGCACAGUCUAAUAAUCGCCAGCGUUCCUACACUCAAGCGUAACAACUAGAGCAUCUGCUCACAAAUAGGUUUUUCAGGCUGCAUGUUUCCAUGUUUCCAUCUGCACUAAAUAGAAAUAUAAGCAUAGAGCCCAGAAGCCCACAAAUAAACACUUCAGGAAUGGCGAUAUCAACCUGUAAUAGUUCAAGAAGAUAUGAAACUAAUAGAUUAAACAAAAAAUAUAAUAAAGUCAGUAAUCAAACCAAGUAGACAGGUCCUAACAAGAGUUCUUUGAUUCAGGCAUCCCCUAUUUCAUAGGUAAACAAAUAGCAGGGAUAAAUUUUUUUUAGCAAGAACUAGAAUGCUUACCUGAUGAAAUUGUACAUGUGCAAAUGAACCUACUUCAUCCAUGUAUGCACUAAACAGAAGAAAAGAUGCUAAUGCUGCAGAACCAAUUGCAAAUCCCUUGCUCAAGCGUAAUAACACGACUAAAGAGAAAUUAGAAGAAUAUCAUAACACACUAAAAAUAUCACAAACUCAAAUAUUGGCUUCGCAUCCUCUGUAGCGUCAAAGUUUGGAAAUGGAGUGUAUGAGAAAGAAAAAUAAAUCCACAGCACAUUCAAGACAAGAGAAACAAAAAUCGAACAAAAUCAAAACAAAUCGAAACCCACUUAAGUAUUCCAAGAUCCGCCCGAGAUCUAUUCGCCGGUGGCUACAUAUUAGCUUUAGAUCUACAAAAAUAAAUCUAAAAGAGGGGAGGAGAGACCGAGAGGCGGUGGAACACCCAGAUCGGAGCCAAAAACCUACAUAUUCGUCGGUGGCUGGCGUCAGUGGUUGCUUCAGCGGUGGGAGGUGGCGUCAGUGGUUGCUUCAG
rnacentral:lncRNA from 1 species